rnacentral:lncRNA from 1 species
GGAGGGAAAUUCAUCAAUAUUACUCUUAAUCAAAAGUACUUUUUGGUAAAUUUUUUAAAUCUUUACUUUACCCUUUUUCUUUAUAUAUAUAUAUAUACACACUAAUGUAAUAUUUACCAUCAUUUCUUACAAAAUUUCAUAUCCUCCCAUCCAAUUUUACAUUGUGACCUACAUUAAUUGCACAUCUAUUUAUAAAUAGACAGUGAUGUAUCGUGUUAUUGUAAGUUAGAAUUAUUCUUCUUUCAUGCUGCUAUAUUUUGCUCUAAGCCAGUGAUGUAGCAUCAUGGGGUGUGGAAUUCUUACAAAUGACGAAGCUACUAUCUUACAACGUCGUGGGGUGCCACUAUUUUUCCUAAUUUAUUUUUAAAGAUCACUUUUUUCUUAUUAUAGGACUGCACAUGCAUGUUUUAGGUUUGGAAGAACAACAAGAAUAAGUUAUGUAAAACAGCAGCAGAGCUAGUAGAAAAGAGUCAUAAGAUAAUAUAUAAUGUAUAGAAGAGAAAGAAUAUGCAUAAUAGUUAGUUUAUUGGUAACAUUAUAUAUUAAUUAUAAGAUGCAUUUUAUUCAUUAGCAAGGCUUGAAAACAAUUGAUGAAUACACACACUAAUUAUAAUUUCAUUAAAAAUUAUUAAGUUGUGUGGUCAUGGGCAGAAUGUAACAUCCUCAUAUAUUUUCAUCAUCAUAUAUAUUAAUAUACAUAGCCGAAAGCCUGGGGGCAUUAUUGUUUCCUCAAAUAUCUUAGCUGAGGGUGCUUGGUUGACAUACAAAACCACGUAUGCAAUGAUCCUCUCAUCUCGUUGAAAUGCAACACUCAUUAACUCUUGCACCCAACAAUGUAACAUCCUCAUUUCUCCAUUCUACACUCAAAUUAGAUGGACAACUGCUAGAGCCUUUGUAAAUCUUAAGUCGACUGAAGUUGUUACAUUAGGUUGUUAUUAUCAGCUAGCUACUUGGUUACCCAUCUUGGUUUUGUAAGAAUUGGUUAAUCGGUCCAACCCAUUGAAGCCCAUUAUAUAUAUGGUCUUCAUCCCUUUGUACUCAAAACUUGUUGGACACAAACUGUUCAUAUCUGAAGAACUAACACAUGUAGGUGAUACAAGUUGUUGUCCUGUUCUACCAACUGGUGUUAUGGAAAUUAAACAGGUAAGUUGAAGCCAUCAACAAAGACUGAUAACAUAGAAAUCUAUGCCAUCUGAUAAUUGAGCUAAUAAAUGUGGAUUCAACUAAGGUAGAAGGUAUUUUUCAUCUCCACUACCACUAGAGCUCUCACAAAUGAUGCCACAACCUCCAGUUUCACAAGAAAAAUGGGAAGCAGAGGGAUCUAUAGUGCAACCUGUUGGAGCCCAAAUUCUACCCAGCCAUGGUGUUGGAGAACCUAAUCGAAAUCCAGUCGUUUGGAGUUGUGCACUAUUACCACCGGCUGUUAAUGUUGCUACCAUACUUUUGUGUAGUGAGUAAAACUUGAACUCUAGUUGGAAGGGAAGCUGACAAACAUAGUUACCAUUAAACUGUCUACAAAUAUUAAGUAUUAAUUGAGUUUGUUUAUAUUUGAGGGGGGCUCGAGCUUCCCUGGACCUAUACUAAAUCCGUCGGUGUUUUUCUGUGCACAUAUAUUUUUAACCAUAAUUGUAGUUGUCGAGCAUAUCCAAAAAAUUUGUCGACGGGUACUUUACAUAAGAAUUUAG